rfam:Gossypium raimondii Chr13_contig_1344, whole genome shotgun sequence.
UGUUAAAAAAAUUCGUCCAUUUAUAUUGUUAAAAGUUGACAUGGCUGAUAGAAUAAUUAGAUAGUUACACGUGACGUGUCACAUGUACCUCUUGCUAAUAUACAACAAUCAAUUUUGAAAUGUAGAAAUGAAUGAAAUUUUAACA